UACUGUAGAAAAUGCAAUUUACAAGAGAACAAUAAAGCAUAACAUGAAUAAAUACAAGAGUCUCGGAGAAAUGUUAUGGAAAAAUUAAAAGUCACGGGAACAAAAUUGCAUAUUUGGACGCAUGUACCGAAGAAACAAUCACAUAUGCGCGGAACUGCAAGUUAAAGCAAUAAAGUUGUGAGAUGCCUUAUGGUUUCAAAAACAAGGAAUUAAAUUCGGUGACAUUAUUAAUAUGUGCACAGGCAACCAUCUCAACUCCAUCGUGUCUUGUUUUUCGGCAGCUUAUAUCAACGCAAUCUUCAAUCGGUGAAAUGAAAACAUGGACUGGCAAACUGCGCUGCACGUUUUACGACUAACCACGCCAAAAGUGAUCUUCUGCAGUGAGAAAUCAGUGAAUGUUAUUUUGAGCGUGAAAGGAGCAGAAGUGCAAUCCCAUGAUAGUGAUUUUUGGCAAGCAUGUUGAUGCGAUUACGUUCUUCGAUAUUCUGAGAAAUUGCAAUGAUGUAGAAGUAGCAAAUUUCUGUUACGUUGAGCUCGACGAUAUAAAAAAGAAUGCAUUUGGCAUUCAUCGGGCACUACGAGAAUGCCGAAAAGUCGAAUUGUCCAAUUAUACAAUAUUAGUCAUUAUCCAAAAAAAUACUUUGGAUGUGGCUAAUACGCCAUUACUUUAGUUUUCUUCUCUUUAUUGGUUGAGUAGGACAGCGCUGAACUUGAUUAUAAUCGCGCAAGACAACUAACUAAGCGAUCCUCUAUCCAGAAUUUAAUGAGGAGAUGACUUGUCGAUUAAUUGAAAAAUAUAAAGUAAUAAUA